rnacentral:rRNA from 1 species
GACGAACGCUGGCGGCGUGCCUAAUACAUGCAAGUUGAGCGCUGAAGGUUGGUACUUGUACCAACUGGAUGAGCAGCGAACGGGUGAGUAACGCGUGGGGAAUCUGCCUUUGAGCGGGGGACAACAUUUGGAAACGAAUGCUAAUACCGCAUAAAAACUUUAAACACAAGUUUUAAGUUUGAAAGAUGCAAUUGCAUCACUCAAAGAUGAUCCCGCGUUGUAUUAGCUAGUUGGUGAGGUAAAGGCUCACUAAGGCGAUGAUACAUAGCCGACCUGAGAGGGUGAUCGGCCACAUUGGGACGGAGACACGGCCCAAACUCCUACGGGAGGCAGCAGUAGGGAAUCUUCGGCAAUGGACGAAAGUCUGACCGAGCAACGCCGCGUGAGUGAAGAAGGUUUUCGGAUCGUAAAACUCUGUUGGUAGAGAAGAACGUUGGUGAGAGUGGAAAGCUCAUCAAGUGACGGUAACUACCCAGAAAGGGACGGCUAACUACGUG